rnacentral:lncRNA from 1 species
GGCAGGUAGAGGCUGAUGGUGUUGUUGAGCAGCAGCGCCGGCUGCCGCAGGUCCGCAAAGAAAGGGAAGGCCAGGAAGUUUAGGAAGACAAAUUUGGUGAGGAUGACAGGGAAGAGGCGGAUGAGGAAGGGCACGGAGAUGUAGAUAAGGAGCAGCUGCAGGAGGACGGUGUGCAGUCGGGGGCACCAGCCCAGCCAGCCCCGCCGGGGCCGCUCCGCGCUCUGCUCCGCCGCCUUCCCGCUGCCAUCGCCGUCCCCACGUCCCGCAGCCUCCGCGCCGCCGCGUCGCCGCAUCGCGCCGUCC